rnacentral:tRNA from 1 species
GCCAGGGUAGCUCAGUUGGUGAGAGCGUCGGAUUCAUAACCCGGAGGUCGACAGUUCAAAUCUGUUUCCUGGCACCA